AGAGUUUGAUCAUGGCUCAGGACGAACGCUGGCGGCGUGCCUAAUACAUGCAAGUCGAGCGGACAGAUGGGAGCUUGCUCCCUGAUGUUAGCGGCGGACGGGUGAGUAACGCGUGGGUAACCUGCCUGUAAGACUGGGAUAACUCCGGGAAACCGGGGCUAAUACCGGAUGGUUGUUUGGACCGCAUGGUUCAAACAUAAAAGGUGGCUUCGGCUACCACUUACAGAUGGACCCGCGGCGCAUUAGCUAGUUGGUGAGGUAAACGGCUCACCAAGGCAACGAUGCGUAGCCGACCUGAGAGGGUGAUCGGCCACACUGGGACUGAGACACGGCCCAGACUCCUACGGGAGGCAGCAGUAGGGAAUCUUCCGCAAUGGACGAAAGUCUGACGGAGCAACGCCGCGUGAGUGAUGAAGGUUUUCGGAUCGUAAAGCUCUGUUGUUAGGGAAGAACAAGUACCGUUCGAAUAGGGCGGUACCUUGACGGUACCUAACCAGAAAGCCACGGCUAACUACGUGCCAGCAGCCGCGGUAAUACGUAGGUGGCAAGCGUUGUCCGGAAUUAUUGGGCGUAAAGGGCUCGCAGGCGGUUUCUUAAGUCUGAUGUGAAAGCCCCCGGCUCAACCGGGGAGGGUCAUUGGGAAACUGGGGAACUUGAGUGCAGAAGAGGAGAGUGGAAUUCCACGUGUAGCGGUGAAAUGCGUAGAGAUGUGGUGGAACACCAGUGGCGAAGGCGACUCUCUGGUCUGUAACUGACGCUGAGGAGCGAAAGCGUGGGGAGCGAACAGGAUUAGAUACCCUGGUAGUCCACGCCGUAAACGAUGAGUGCUAAGUGUUAGGGGGUUUCCGCCCCUUAGUGCUGCAGCUAACGCAUUAAGCACUCCGCCUGGGGAGUACGGUCGCAAGACUGAAACUCAAAGGAAUUGACGGGGGCCCGCACAAG
rnacentral:rRNA from 1 species